UACGGAAGGCAGCAGUGGGGAAUAUUGCACAAUGGGCGAAAGCCUGAUGCAGCUAUGCCGCGUGUAUGAAGAAGGCCUUAGGGUUGUAAAGUACUUUCAUCGGGGAGGAAAAAACAAAACUAAUAAUUUUAUUUCUUGACGUUACCCGAAAAAGAAGCACCGGCUAACUCCGUGCCAGCAGCCGCGGUAAUACGGAGGGUGCUAGCGUUAAUCAGAAUUACUGGGCGUAAAGAGCACGUAGGUGGUUUUUUUAAGUCAGAUGUGAAUCCCUGGGCUUAACCUAGGAACUGCAUUUUGAAACUGAAAUACUAGAGUAUCGUAGAGGGAGGUAGAAUUCUAGGUGUAGCGGUGAAAUGCGUAGAUAUCUGGAGGAAUACCUGUGGCGAAAGCGGCCUCCUAAACGAAUACUGACACUGAGGUGCGAAAGCGUGGGGAGCAAACAGGGAUUAGAUACCCGU
rnacentral:rRNA from 1 species